UGGGGAAUUUUGGACAAUGGGCGCAAGCCUGAUCCAGCCAUGCCGCGUGCGGGAAGAAGGCCUUCGGGUUGUAAACCGCUUUUGUCAGGGAAGAAACGCUCUGGGCUAAUACCCUGGGGUAAUGACGGUACCUGAAGAAUAAGCACCGGCUAACUACGUGCCAGCAGCCGCGGUAAUACGUAGGGUGCAAGCGUUAAUCGGAAUUACUGGGCGUAAAGCGUGCGCAGGCGGUUAUGCAAGACAGAUGUGAAAUCCCCGGGCUCAACCUGGGAACUGCAUUUGUGACUGUAUAGCUAGAGUACGGUAGAGGGGGAUGGAAUUCCGCGUGUAGCAGUGAAAUGCGUAGAUAUGCGGAGGAACACCGAUGGCGAAGGCAAUCCCCUGGACCUGUACUGACGCUCAUGCACGAAAGCGUGGGGAGCAAACAGGAUUAGAUACCCUUGUAGUCCCUGAGCGGGCUGGCAAGGCGCAU
rnacentral:rRNA from 1 species